rnacentral:rRNA from 1 species
UNCGGNGGGUGCAAGCGUUANUNGGANUCACUGGGCGUAAAGCGCACGUNGGCGGCUUGGUAAGUCAGGGGUGAANUCCCNNAGCCCAACUGUGGAACUGCCUUUGAUACUNCCAGGCUUGAGUACCGGAGAGGGUGGCGGAAUUNCAGGUGUAGGAGUGAAAUCCGUAGAUAUCUGGAGGAACACCGGUGGCGAAGGCGGCCACCUGGACGGUAACUGACGCUGAGGUGCGAAAGCGUGGGUAGCAAACAGGAUUAGAUACCCUGGUAGUCCACGCUGUAAACGAUGGGUGCUGGGUGCUGGGAUGUAUGUCUCGGUGCCGUAGCUAACGCGAUAAGCACCCCGCCUGGGGAGUACGGUCGCAAGGCUGAAACUCAAAGAAAUUGACGGGGGCCCGCACAAGCGGUGGAGUAUGUGGUUUAAUUCGAUGCAACGCGAAGAACCUUACCCAGGCUUGACAUCUAGGGAACCCUUCGGAAAUGAAGGGGUGCCCUUCGGGGAGCCCUAAGACAGGUGCUGCAUGGCUGUCGUCAGCUCGUGCCGUGAGGUGUUGGGUUAAGUCCCGCACCGAGCGCAACCCCUAUCUUCAGUUGCCAGCAGGUAAGGCUGGGCACUCUGGAGAGACCGCCCCGGUCAACGGGGAGGAAGGUGGGGACGACGUCAAGUCAUCAUGGCCCUUACGCCUGGGGCUACACACGUACUACAAUGGCGCGCACAAAGGGUAGCGAGACCGCGAGGUGGAGCCAAUCCCAAAAAACGCGUCCCAGUCCGGAUUGGAGUCUGCAACUCGACUCCAUGAAGUCGGAAUCGCUAGUAAUUCGAGAUCAGCAUGCUCGGGUGAAUGCGUUCCCGGGCCUUGUACACACCGCCCGUCACACCACGAAAGUCGGUUUUACCCGAAGCCGGUGAGCUAACUCGCAAGAGAAGCAGCCGUCUACGGUAGGGCUGAUGAUUGGGGUGAAGUCGUAACAAGGUAGCAAUCACUAGUGAAUUCGCGGCCGCCUGCAGGUCGACCAUAUGGGAGAGCUCCCAACG